rnacentral:rRNA from 1 species
UUAUCCCGGAUUUAUUGGGCGUAAAGCGAGCGCAGGGCGGUUCCUUUUAAGUCUAGAUGUGAAAGCCUUCGGUCCUCAACCGAAGAAGUGCAUUCGGAAACUGGGAGACUUGAGUGCAGAAGAGGACAGUGGAACUCCAUGUGUAGCGGUGAAAUGCGUAGAUAUAUGGAAGAACACCAGUGGCGAAGGCGGCUGUCUGGUCUGCAACUGACGCUGAGGCUCGAAAGCAUGGGUAGCGAACAGGAUUAGAUACCCUGGUAGUCCAUGCCGUAAACGAUGAUUACUAAGUGUUGGAGGGUUUCCGCCCUUCAGUGCUGCAGCUAACGCAUUAAGUAAUCCGCCUGGGGAGUACGACCGCAAGGUUGAAAACUCAAAAGAAUUGACGGGGGCCCGCACAAGCGGUUGGAGCAUGUGGUUUAAUUCGAAGCUACGCGAAGAACCUUACCAGGGUCUUGACAUCUUCUGACAGUCUAAGAGAUUAGAGGUUCCCUUCGGGGACAGAAUGACAGGUGGUGCAUGGUUGUCGUCAGCUCGUGUCGUGAGAUGUUGGGUUAAGUCCCGCAACGAGCGCAACCCUUAUUACUAGUUGCCAGCAUUAAGUUGGGCACUCUAGUGAGACUGCCGGUGACAAAACCGGAGGAAGGUGGGGACGACGUCAAAUCAUCAUGCCCCUUUAUGACCUGGGCUACACACGUGCUACAAUGGAUGGUACAACGAGUCGCGAGACCGCGAGGUUAAGCUAAUCUCUUAAAAGCCAUUCUCAGUUCGGACUGUAGGCUGCAACUCGCCUACACGAAGUCGGAAUCGCUAGUAAUCGCGGAUCAGCAUGCCGCGGUGAA